AUUUCAGUGGAAUGAUUCUUUAAAGAGUGACGAGGUUAGUAGGAUACUUCCAGACUCGCAGAAUAAUAUAACCUUCUCGUAUGUUUGUUUUCAUAAUUCAAUUUGCUACUUUUUAAACGUCAAAUGUAUUUAUGUACUGAAAGGAGAUUAUUAUGUACUUCAAUCGUAUCAAAGUGCGUCAUCGUUUAAAAAAUGGAAUAAAGCACAAUUAUUUCAAAUGAUGUUUCGCCUCUCACAAAUGGGAAUGGCAAGAGUAAAACAACGCUGUCGCCGUCGAAUGCUAUCAACCAGACUGCAAAUGGAAUUGUAUACAAUAAAGAAUAACAUAAACAACACUGAAACGGAAAAGCACCCACGGGAGCAGCAGUAUCAGGAAGAGGAGAAUUCUAUGAUGAUCCUAAUCGGAGCAAAUCUUCAUUCGAAAAGGUUCCUCUACACACAGCCUUCCUAGUAUAUCUUGGCUUUUACCUGCUCAUAAUAUUGGGCUACAUCAAUCAAUUGAUGUGUGCCCCAAAAGUAGCUAAAGAAAUUAAUCGAGAGAUUUUUUUUCAGGGUUAUGUUACGCUUUACGAUGCCUUCGAGAGCUUCUUAUCACGCUAUAUCUAUCGGAAAGCUCGAGAUUGCUGGAAUCCACCGAUUUGCAGUGUCCUGGCGGAGGUAACCCUCAACGAUCUCAUAAUCAAGGACUACGGUUGGACAUUCGAGUUCAAUAGAACAGAAACACGAUGUCUGAACCUGAAUUACAACUACUUGGGAA